CCUACGGGAGACAGCAGUGAGGAAUAUUGGUCAAUGGGCUUACGCCUGAACCAGCCAAGUCGCGUGAGGGAAGACUGCCCUAUGGGUUGUAAACCUCUUUUGUCAGGGAGCAACGCCGGCUACGUGUAGCCUGACUGAUAGUACCUGAAGAAAAAGCAUCGGCUAACUCCGUGCCAGCAGCCGCGGUAAUACGGAGGAUGCGAGCGGUAUCCGGAUUUAUUGGGUUUAAAGGUUGCGUAGGCGGAAUGCCAAGUCAGCGGUAAAAUCGCGGGGCUCAACCUCGCUCCGCCGUUGAAACUGGCGUUCUUGAGUGGGCGAGAAGUAUGCGGAAGGCGAGGUGUAGCGGUGAAAUGCAUAGAUAUCACGCAGAUCUACGAUUGCGAAGGCAGCAUACCGGCGCGCAACUGACGCUGAAGCACGAAAGCGUGGGUAUCGAACAGGAUUAGAUACCCCAGUAGUC
rnacentral:rRNA from 1 species